rnacentral:rRNA from 1 species
GGGGCAGCCGUAGCGAAAGCGAGUCUUAAUAGGGCGUAUGAGUCGCAUGUUCUAGACCCGAAGCGAAGUGAUCUAUCCAUGGCCAGGUUGAAGCGACGGUAAGACGUCGUGGAGGACCGAACCCACUUCAGUUGAAAAUGGAGGGGAUGAGCUGUGGAUAGGGGUGAAAGGCCAAUCAAACUUCGUGAUAGCUGGUUCUCUCCGAAAUGCAUUUAGGUGCAGCGUUGCGUGUUUCUUGCCGGAGGUAGAGCUACUGGAUGGACGAUGGGCCCCAAAAGGUUACUGACUUCAGCCAAACUCCGAAUGCCGGUAAGUGAGAGCGCAGCAGUGAGACGGUGGGGGAUAAGCUUCAUCGUCGAGAGGGAAACAACCCAGACCACCAUCUAAGGUCCCUAAGCGCGUGCUAAGUGGGAAAGGAUGUGGAGUUGCAUAGACAACCAGGAGGUUGGCUUAGAAGCAGCCACCCUUGAAAGAGUGCGUAAUAGCUCACUGGUCAAGUGAUUCCGCGCCGACAAUGUAACGGGGCUCAAGCACGCCACCGAAGUUGUGGCAUUUAUAUUAUAGGCAGGCCUUCGUGGUCCAGCCGUAUGGAUGGGUAGGAGAGCGUCGUGUGGCCAGCGAAGCGGCGGUGUGAACCAGCCGUGGAGGCCACACGAGUGAGAAUGCAGGCAUGAGUAGCGAAAGACGGGUGAGAAACCCGUCCUCCGAAAGACCAAGGGUUCCAGGGCCAGGCUAAUCCGCCCUGGGUAAGUCGGGACCUAAGGCGAGGCCGACAGGCGUAGUCGAUGGACAACGGGUUGAUAUUCCCGUACCGAUGAAGAACCGCCCAAGACAAUCCAGUAAUGCUAAGUGUCUGAAUCCUU